rnacentral:rRNA from 1 species
GGGGUGGAGCAUGUGGCUUUCACUUCGAUGCGACGCGCAGGACCUUACCUACUCUUGACAUCCAGAGGAGCCAGCGGAGACGCAGGUGCGCUUCGGGAGCUCUGAGACAGGUGCUGCAUGGCUGUCGUCAGCUCGUGUUGUGAAAUGUUGGGUUCAGUCCCGCGACGAGCGCAACCCUUAUCCUUGUUUGCCAGCGAGUAAUGUCGGGAACUCCAGGGAGACUGCCGGUGAUAAACCGGAGGAAGGUGGGGACGACGUCAAGUCAUCAUGGCCCUUACGAGUAGGGCUACACACGUGCUACAAUGGCGCAUACAGAGGGCAGCGAGCUAGCGAUAGUGAGCGAAUCCCAACAAAGUGCGUCGUAGUCCGGAUUGGAGUCUGCAACUCGACUCCAUGAAGUCGGCAUCGCUAGUAAUCGUGAAUCAGUCAUGUCACGGUGUAUACGUUCCCGGGCCUAUGUACACACCGCCCGUCACACCAUGGGAGUGGGCUGCAAAAGAAGUGGGUAGUUUCAGACUUCUCGGGGAGGACGCAUCUCCCCACAUCUUGUGGUUCAGUGAACAUGGUGUUGUGUU